rnacentral:rRNA from 1 species
CAGCAGCCGCGGUAAAACGGAGGAUCCAAGCGUUAUCCGGAUUUAUUGGGUUUAAAGGGUGCGUAGGUGGCCUGUUAAGUCAGGGGUGAAAGACGGUAGCUUAACUAUCGCAGUGCCUUUGAUACUGACGGGCUUGAAUACGCUAGAGGUAGGCGGAAUGUGACAAGUAGCGGUGAAAUGCAUAGAUAUGUCACAGAACACCAAUUGCGAAGGCAGCUUACUAUGGUGUCAUUGACACUGAGGCACGAAAGCGUGGGGAUCAAACAGGAUUAGAUACCUCGGUAGUCCCUGUCUCUUAUAC